CCUACGGGAGGCAGCAGUAAGGAAUAUUGGUCAAUGGACGAAAGUCUGAACCAGCCAUGCCGCGUGAAGGAUGACGGCCCUCUGGGUUGUAAACUUCUUUUAUAGGGGACGAAAAAAGGGUAUUCUUACUCACUUGACGGUACCCUAGGAAUAAGCACCGGCUAACUCCGUGCCAGCAGCCGCGGUAAUACGGAGGGUGCAAGCGUUAUCCGGAUUCACUGGGUUUAAAGGGUGCGUAGGUGGGUCUAUAAGUCAGUGGUGAAAUCUCCGAGCUUAACUCGGAAACUGCCAUUGAUACUAUAGGCCUUGAAUUAUCUGGAGGUAAGCGGAAUAUGUCAUGUAGCGGUGAAAUGCUUAGAUAUGACAUAGAACACCAAUUGCGAAGGCAGCUUACUACGGAUAUAUUGACACUGAGGCACGAAAGCGUGGGGAUCAAACAGGAUUAGAUACCCUGGUAGUCCACGCCCUAAACUAUGGAUACUCGACAUCAGCGAUACACUGUUGGUGUCUGAGCGAAAGCAUUAAGUAUCCCACCUGGAAGUACGACCGCAAGGUUGAAACUCAAAUGAAUUGACGG
rnacentral:rRNA from 1 species